rnacentral:lncRNA from 1 species
GAGGUGGGGAUUGUCAAGAAUGUUUAUAUGCUCUUACAUCUUCAUGUGGUCCAACAAUAUUAUUACAAAUCUUUUUUAUUUUGAUCAAAUUUAUUGACAAUGCAACCAAAUGAAUUACAUCAAAAGAAAAGAAAAGAAAAGAAAACGAAUUACAUCAUAAAAGAAAAUUUUGCUAAUUUCAGUAACAAUAUUUUCAUAUUCUGCUAAAAACCAAAAAUAAGUGCUUUCUACAGGAUUCUUG